rnacentral:rRNA from 1 species
CCUACGGGAGGCAGCAGUGGGGAAUAUUGCACAAUGGGGGAAACCCUGAUGCAGCAACGCCGCGUGGGUGAAGGAGCGUUUCGGCGCGUAAAGCCCUGUCAGCGGGGAAGAAGAAAGACGGUACCCGACCAAGAAGCCCCGGCUAACUACGUGCCAGCAGCCGCGGUAAUACGUAGGGGGCGAGCGUUAUCCGGAAUUACUGGGUGUAAAGGGAGCGUAGACGGCGAGGUAAGCCUGAAGUGGAAGCCCGCGGCCCAACCGCGGAACUGCUUUGGGAACUGUUUUGCUGGAGUAUGGGAGGGGUAAGCGGAAUUCCUGGUGUAGCGGUGAAAUGCGUAGAUAUCAGGAGGAACACCGGUGGCGAAGGCGGCUUACUGGACCAUAACUGACGUUGAGGCUCGAAAGCGUGGGGAGCGAACAGGAUUAGAUACCCCAGUA